CUCUCUUUAAUGUUGGCGGGAAGAUCCGAUAACGUCAGUCGCGUGAAGGAGUACGCAAGAAGAUAUUGAGAGAAAUGUUCCGGUGUUUUUGUCCUUACGGUCACGGAUCGGGAUGAACGACGUGAGGAAGAUGUCUUGGACUGACAUGAGGGUGAUGGUUCCAGCGGAGAUGUAGUUUCGGGGGGGCGAGAGAGCGCUGUCACGGCCUGAAAGCUCAGCACACUUGAAGCUGGAAUCCAUUUAUUCCCCAGGCCAGGCCUAAUUACCCCUCUCUGCCACAGACUCUGAAAGCGACUUCUGGUUUUCUGUGCCGGAUCAAAGAAGACGGAUGUCGGGCGAUUGGGCCGCUGACAUAAUGCGCUGUGGCACGCAGCUCGCUUUUAUUAGCACAAGCCUGUUAUUUCCCGGCGACUCUAAGUGUGGACGGGCAGUGAUAAAUGCUGUCGCACACGCUUGAUGCGAUUCAUUUGUCAGAGGCCUGAAAAAGGUUAAUCAGUAUUCUCCAGCCGGGUUACGGCCCUCCGUCUCCCUCUCAGCAGUAAUUGUGCUCCUGUUACGGACAAACUCAGGCAGCUGGGGACCCGAGUUACGUGCAAUUAUAUUUCUGUCCAUCUGCGGGGGGAAAAUCCUAAUCAUAACGCUCACUUGACGUCGACUCGCUUUCAUAAUUUAUACUGCGAGUAUUUCACACGCAGACCUGCAUGACCAUGGGAAACGCUGGGGAAAAUCAAUGUAAAUUCAUAUUUCAUAAGGCCAUAAUUGCGUUUGAGAGUGUGCGGUGGUCGUUUGUUUCAGCUGACAGUACCAUACAUUUGAGCUCCGGCUCUUAUUUCAUCUCACAGGCCUUCGAUCUCCCAGCGCUCGUCUUUUUACCGAAAACAAGGGGUUUGUUGUCAAAGAAAAUGGGCCUUUUUUUUAACACUUGACAACGUUCUAUCAUCUGUGAAGUUAUCGAUUUGCCAGUGUUUUAACCAUCAAACUGGAUCUGUUUGAGCGACUCUGGUUUUUAAACAAUUUCUUUGACAGGCGAGGCGUCACAGCAAUUGCCCCGCUUUUAAAGACAGUAUUUCAAUUUGCCGAGAGCCCUUCAAGUGAAGCGCGGGGCCCCUUUGAAGGAGUAUCAGAGCGCCUUGGGGCCGACAGAGUUGUCACGCUACGAGCGAGCUAAAAAAUGGAGCGCCUUUGCUUUAUAGAUUGCUGUUAGGUCAACAAAACUUUGGCAGCAUUGAUUAACUUGACAGUGAAUGCGGCAGUACAUUUAUCACUAAUAGCCCGAGCGCAGAAAAUCUAAUAAGAGCCCAACAAUCCAGCGUCCGUCCAAAAAAACAGGAGCCAGACGUGCCCCGCUGUCAUUAAUUGAAGCUAAAAAGUGGAUUCUGUCUUAUCUGGCUCUCGCAGCGGUUAAAGAGUUCAGAAAGCCGGCUCGGGGAUUGUGUUGUUGGGACUCUGAUUUGCAUGAGCGGCUAUAAAACACUCUGACCGCACGUCACAGUUUCGCAGAGAGCCUCAUCGAUUAGUUGUCACCUGGGCAUCAGCUUCACUCCUAGGAUUCAAUUUUUUUUCCCGCCCGUUUUGCAUACGCUAUCGACCGCGAGCGGGUAAAUGAGCAGAACGCGCCGAGACCGGAGGAUGAAUUGUUUACUCGCAUAAAAAUAACCUUUCAAUAGCGGAAGAUGCAUGGCGCGGGCCCGGGCUGGCGUUCUGCUGCCCCAAGCAGAUGGCAUUCAGCUGCUAUUGAUCCGGCUCAGAACCGGCCCGUCCGUCCCAAAGCCCUCCUCCAAAUUAAGAGACACACGGCCGACCGCGACACUUCAUAAACGUCAGCCGUGUUUUCAGCCUGACGAAAGAUCACCUUCACUGCUAGUUUAACCCUCUACAACCUAAACGACUUUUUGAAACACAUCAGGCUUUUAUGGCUCAUAUAGUGAGAAUGUAGAGGACUCGAAAACGUUUUGAUGAUUGCGGUCUAAAUCAGUGAAGCGGCGGAUACUGAUCUAUGUCUCUGUAAAUGAUCAAACAUAUAAUGCAGCGCUGAUGGAGAGCUGAUGAAACACAGGCUCCUCAGAAGAUGUGAGAUGCUUUGGAACAGUGAAAGUAAAGCUCCUCAAAAGAUCAGAUUCUUUUAGAAAAUGACUGAUGGAGAAUCAGGUAAAGCUGAGCUGCUUCAGUCCAGUAAGAGUUCAUUUGGAGGAUGAUCUCGAUCAGAAUCAGUCCAGAUCUGACCCCAGAACCAGACGCUGAAGCUGGACGUAAGAGCUCUUACUGGAUAAAACAAUCUAAACUAUUAGUGUGAAGACGUGAGGAGACUGAGCUUCAAUGUGGAUCAUUUACAGGCCUUAGUAAUGUUUAUAUUAAAUAUGAUUUAUAGGAGUUUUUAUUAUUAAAAAAAU